rnacentral:rRNA from 1 species
GACAGAGGGUGCAAACGUUGUUCGGAAUUACUGGGCGUAAAGCGCGUGUAGGCGGCUCGGUAAGUCCGCUCUGAAAGUCCAGGGCUCAACCCUGGGAUGCGGGUGGAUACUGCCGGGCUCGAGUCCGGAAGAGGCGAGUGGAAUUCCCGGUGUAGCGGUGAAAUGCGCAGAUAUCAGGAAGAACACCCGUGGCUAAGGCGGCUCUCUAGUACGGUACUGACGCUGAGACGCGAAAGCGUGGGGAGCGAACAGG